rnacentral:rRNA from 1 species
UACGAAGGGUGCUAGCGUUGUUCGGAAUUACUGGGCGUAAAGCGCGCGUAGGCGGCGAUACAAGUCAGGGGUGAAAUCCUGGGGCUCAACCCCAGAAUUGCCCUUGAAACUGUAUUGCUUGAGUGUCGGAGGGGAUAGCGGAAUUGCUAAUGUAGAGGUGAAAUUCGUAGAUAUUAGCAGGAACACCGGUGGCGAAGGCGGCUAUCUGGACGACAACUGACGCUGAGGCGCGAAAGCCAGGGGAGCAAACGGG